rnacentral:rRNA from 1 species
UACGAAGGGUGCAAGCGUUAAUCGGAAUUACUGGGCGUAAAGGGUGCGUAGGCGGUUCGUUAAGUCUGUCGUGAAAUCCCCGGGCUCAACCUGGGAAUGGCGAUGGAUACUGGGCAGCUAGAGUGUGUCAGAGGAUGGUGGAAUUCCCGGUGUAGCGGUGAAAUGCGUAGAGAUCGGGAGGAACACCAGUGGCGAAGGCGGCCUUCUGGACCAGUACUGACGCUCAUGCACGAAAGCGUGGGGAGCAAACAGG